rnacentral:rRNA from 1 species
AUUGAACGCUGGCGGCAUGCUUUACACAUGCAAGUCGAACGGUAACGCGGGGGCAACCCUGGCGACGAGUGGCGAACGGGUGAGUAAUACAUCGGAACAUGUCCUGGAGUGGGGGAUAGCUCGGCGAAAGCCGGAUUAAUACCGCAUACGCUCUGAGGAGGAAAGCGGGGGACCUGGUAACGGGCCUCGCGCUGCAGGAGUGGCCGAUGUCGGAUUAGCUAGUGGUGAGGUAAAGGCUCACCAAGGCGACGAUCCGUAGCUGGUCUGAGAGGAUGAUCAGCCACACUGGGACUGAGACACGGCCCAGACUCCUACGGGAGGCAGCAGUGGGGAAUAUUGGACAAUGGGCGCAAGCCUGAUCCAGCCAUG